UACGUAGGUGGCAAGCGUUGUCCGGAAUUAUUGGGCGUAAAGCGCGCGCAGGUGGUUUCUUAAGUCUGAUGUGAAAGCCCACGGCUCAACCGUGGAGGGUCAUUGGAAACUGGGGAACUUGAGUGCAGGAGAGAAGAGUGGAAUUCCUGGUGUAGCGGUGAAAUGCGUAGAUAUCAGGAGGAAUACCGGUGGCGAAAGCGACUCUCUGGACGGCAACUGACGCUGAGGCACGAAAGCGUGGGGAGCAAACAGG
rnacentral:rRNA from 1 species